rnacentral:rRNA from 1 species
UACGAAGGGGGCUAGCGUUGCUCGGAAUUACUGGGCGUAAAGCGCACGUAGGCGGCUUCUUAAGUCGGUGGUGAAAUCCUGGAGCUCAACUCCAGAACUGCCUUCGAUACUGGGAAGCUCGAGUCCGGGAGAGGUGAGUGGAACUGCGAGUGUAGAGGUGAAAUUCGUAGAUAUUCGGAAGAACACCAGUGGCGAAGGCGGCUCACUGGCCCGGUACUGACGCUCAUGUGCGAAAGCGUGGGGAGCAAACAGG